rnacentral:rRNA from 1 species
GACGAACCGUGCGAACGUUGUUCGGAAUCACUGGGCUUAAAGGGCGCGUAGGCGGGCUGUCAAGUCUGGGGUGAAAUGCCGCGGCUCAACCGUGGAACUGCCUUAGAUACUGACGGCCUCGAGGAGGUAGGGGCGUGCGGAACUGUAGGUGGAGCGGUGAAAUGCGUUGAUAUCUACAGGAACUCCGGUGGCGAAAGCGGCGCGCUGGACCUCUCUGACGCUGAGGCGCGAAAGCUAGGGGAGCAAACGGG